UAACGCGUAAACAACCUGCCCUUCGGAUGGGGAUAACAGCCGGAAACGGCUGCUAAUACCGAAUACGAUCUUUUCGUCGCAUGACGAAAAGAAGAAAGGAUGGCCUCUAUACAAAGCUAUCGCCGAAGGAGGGGUUUGCGUCUGAUUAGCUGGUUGGAGGGGUAACGGGCCCAACAAGGCGAUGAUCAGUAGCCGGUCUGAGAGGAUGAACGGCCACAUUGGGACUGAGACACGGCCCAGACUCCUACGGGAGGCAGCAGAU
rnacentral:rRNA from 1 species